CACUCGUCAUGUGGAAGUGUUGUUAAAUGAUGAGGUCUUGAGUUCCAGUAACGCCAAACGCAUCAAUAAUCUAUAUGGAGAGUUUGUGAAGACUCACAUGUGAGGGGUUAGGGACGGUGCCCUGCAGGGCCAGCCAGGGAUCCACGGAACGGGUGGGGUCCACGGGAUAUGUUGUUACAAGUUUAUGGAUUCAAUUUACAAUGAAAAAUUAACCACUAUUACUAAUGAUUAGUCGAGUGAUUUAGAGUUUUCUCCCCUUCCCCUCCCCCCAAACCCCUCAAAACGUCAAGUGACUUUUGAGUAAAAAGAUUGCAAAUUGAAAUAAUUACACUUUAAGUCAGUUUUUAACUUUAAUAUAUCAUAAAAAGACACUUCUUGCUCCUAGAGCAGUUUUGCACAAAAAACAAGAAGAAACAACACAAAUGAACCAUACAAAAUUCCAAAAAUACCCUGUUGUUUUCUCAGUUAAUUUAACGUAACUUUAUCUUAAUUCUUAACCACAAAAUCCAAAAGACAUCGUUGACAAUAAGUCUCAUUCUCCCUUCUUCUUCAUUUUCUUUGUUCUCAAUUUUUUUUUUGUAAAAUAAAAUUCACUUCUCUAGAUUUGUUUUUUCCAAAAGCGUUAUAUUAAAUCAUUAUAUGAUCUGUUUUUUUAGAUAUAUUAAGUUGAUGGUCGAAUGGUAGUGUAAUGGUGACAUUGACAAAGGCGGAUACGUAGGCGUCAUCAACAUAGACGAUGGUAGAUACGUAGAAGACAGAGGAGACAUAGUAACGUUAGAGAUGUAGGUGCCAUCGACGUAUAUGACAGAGAUGGCGGCAAAGACAUAGACAAAGGAAAGUUGAGAGCAGAGAGAAAAAAAAUUGGAUACAGCUGAAACAGAAAAAAGUGAAUGGUUUGAAAGUUUGUUAAUUGUAGUCAUAGACUCGUGGGUCUAAACUAGACAUGUUCUAUUUGAGCCAUGUCUUCUUCUUAUUCUUCGGCUGCUUCGUCUUCGGCCUUUGGAUCAAGAAUGGAUGAGAGCAUGAAGAAAACGGUGACUGAGACACCGUCAUUGAUUACUUAAAAAAUUGGUGCUCGUAUGUUUCACUUCUCAUCAAUAUAUCUAAAAUUUUCAUUGUUUUGCGUAACCCUAUAAUGUGUUUGUUAAGUAUCCUUGUAAUCUUUGUUGUUAUAAGCUUAGUCUGGUUAAUUGAUUAACUUAUGAUAAUAUCAAAACUUCUCAUCUCCUAUGUGUCUUAUCUCCUUAUGUUGAUGAAGUGUAAUGGAUUUUGUCAAGCACUGAACAUAUACACAUGUAUGCUAUCACAUUUGUUGUCCACAUGGACGCUACACUUUUGUGUCCACAUGUACGCUUGAAUUAUGUGUCCACAUGGACGCUACAAUCUCAUGAAUAUAUCUAGAAUUGUCAUUGUUUUGUGUAAUUCUAAAUUGAGCUUGUUGUUAUACGCUUAGUUCGGUUAAUUGAUAAAAUUAUGAUAAUAUCUACACUUCUCGUCUCUUAUGUGUCUUAUCUCCUUAUGUUGAUGAAGUGUAAUGAAUUUUGUCAAGCACCAUGUACACAUGUAUGUUAUCACAAUUGUUGUACACAUGGAUGCUACAGUUAUUUGUGUACAUAUGUUUGUUUGUUAUCCACAUGUACACAAAAGUUAUAAGAUGUUAACUAUUAGUAAUGAAAAAUAAAUUCAUACAAUAUGUUUGUUGUUCAUAGUGGUGCAAUUUUACUGGAAAAUAAAUUCAUAUACUUUAAUCAUUUUACUGACAAUCUUGCUUUCUCUGAUUGUCCAAAUGUUUCUUAUUGGAUGUGUACAUCAAACUUAUAUUUUACAUGUGUACAUGAAACUCAUAUCGUACAUGUGUACAUGAAACUCAUAUCGUACAUGUGUACACAAAAGUCGUAUUGUACACAUGUACAUCAAACUCAUAUUGUAUACAUGUUGCUAAGUGUACACAUCGCUCUCUUGGACUGGCCCGAGAAAGAACUCCACCUCCAUAACAUGCUCUUGCUUCCACUGCCGUUGAGCUGAGGCGAGUUCGUCGUCAACAACCUCACACUCAACUUCCACACCUCAGCUACUAUUUUCAUCAGUGCUUUUAGGGAAAGGUCCGACGAGAUAUAAGGUCGGUGUAAGUGACAGAUGAGAAACCUCCACAUUAAAAUCAGCCGGAGACGAUGAUGUGUCCUCCGUAUAUUCUGUGAGGCGCUCGAUGUUGUUAAUUAUGCAAGGGAGAUGUUGUCGGCCUUUGUGGUCGAUGCCCCACCGUUGCAACAACCGCCAUCACAACCCAAUAAACAUCAUCUUCCACCACACCUUCUUCUCUCCUCUCAUUAUUAUAUGCAUUUCUUCUAUUUUUUCACUCUCAUAUUUUCUCUGUUAUCAUAUCUUCAACGAGAAUCCUAAAUCUCAGUCUCACGAUUAGAGAGAGAGAGAGAGAGAGAGAGAGAGAGAGAGAGAGAGAGAGAGAGAGAGAGAGAGAGAGAGAGAGAGAGAGAGAGAGAGAGAGAGAGAGAGAGAGAGAGAGAGAGUUGGAGUGAAGCUUAAUAAUAUCUUUUUUAUGUGUGGCUGAGACUAAAUCAAUCAAAUAAUUUGUUUUUUGUGUGACUGUGUUUAAAUGUAAUAAAUUAAUAAAGUAUGAUAUAGAUAUUUUGAAUUUAUAUUCAACACACGUGACAAAAAGAAAAAAAUGGUUUAGUUUGUUGAAAUUGAGGGUAAUUGUGUAAACAAUCAACAAGAAACUAUCAUAGUAGCUGUAACUGUCUUAGACUGUAAUAAAAAACAUAAAACUGACCAUGAGUGUAAAUCAUGCUUCAUUUUGGUCUCCGCUCACAAAGAGUUUCGAGCGGACGAUGACGCUGCUUCUUCUUGCUUCACGGCGACGGUUAUUAGAGACAUGCUGGUCAGAUUGCGGUGGUGACUUCAAGCCAAGUCUCUUGCUUCACUUUCGGUGGUGAAUGCGCGAGUGCACAUUUCGAGUUUCUUGGCGUCUUUACCCAGGUGAAGUCUCUCUCUCUCUUCUCUCGUCAAGUGAAGAUUACAAGCUUAGAUGAGUUUACCAGAAGCCAUAUACUCUGGAAGCGACACUUGAAGCCUCGAUAUCCAAGGAAAGGAGGUGAAUCUCACCUUUAUGUAGUGUCUGUCAAAGGUUGAGAACGGUAAAACGAUACUCGGUUUUAGUUUUGGUCUAGAGGAACGCGUCGGGUGAUAGGUUGAGCAAAGCUAGUUGGGAGUUUAAAAAAAGUUGGGUAAUUUGUUCGAAUCUGCUUGUAGUCUAAAACUUAAUCCCGUUUUCAUGUUGAAUUAAAAAAAAGUCGAAGAGAAUAAAUUAUACUGCUAAAAUAAAAAUCAA